GCUAUAUCACGUUGAAAUACCGGUUCUCGUACGACCACCGAAGUUAAGCAACGUCGAACCUAGUCAGUACAUAGAUGGGUGACCGUUUGAGAAUACCAGGUGCU